CCUGCGGCCUCCUCCGUCCCCAAAUAAAAGAAAUCGAUUCCUUUUUUCCUAAAAAAAAAGAGAAAUCGAUUCUUGUCCUACCUCGCUCCCGAGUCUCGACCCACGCGGCGGCGGCUGCUGCUGCUACAGGUUUAUACGGAUUCAAAGAUCUUCCUCCCGUUCUUCCCCUUCCUAUUCCUCCCGCGACGCUUCGGGCCUCCGAGUUUUCUUCUAGCGCGUCUUGUCUCCUUGGCUCGUCUCAGAUCGAUUCGCUCUGUCUCGUAGCCACCUCCGCGGCGGUCGCCGAGAUUGCCGUCGGGUCGCCACCGCCGGGUUUGGAGAGAUGCAGCGGUGUCACGGAAAGGACAAGGCGGCUACCAGCGCGACGCCGCACCACGCAAAGGGCAAGGCGGCCGCGAGCGCGAUGCCGUACCACGCAAAGGAUAAGGCGGCUACUUGCGGCGCGAUGGGGCCGAAGCAUGUCCUCGCAGACGAGAACAUCGUGCAGGAGCACUUAGCACCUCCGGAUCGAAUUCGACAGAGGGGUUUGGAUAGUGCAAAGGAGAGAUCAUCAUCGCUGGUUAUGGGCUUCCGUAGAGAGAUGUCGCAAAAGCGAGGGGAGAAGGGGGAUACAACCUCAAUACAUCAGAAGCAUAAUGCAAAGGAGAAGACUUGCCCCCCUGAUCUGCUCCGCCGGCAGACGCAGGGUAUCCAGCGGCCUGUCAAGAGUCUUGCCGGAGAGAUGUCGCUGAAGCAAAGGGAGAAGGUGGGUACAGGCCUGAUUCCACAGGCGCAUAAUGCAAAGGAGAAGACAUGCCCCCCUGAUCAACUCCGCGGGCAGACGCAGGGUAUCCAGCGGCCUGUCAAGACUGAAGCACGACUUGCUGGAGAGAAGAAGCACAAAACUGAAGCACAUCUUGCCGGAGAGAAAAAGCACACGAAAGGCAAUGCGUCUUUUCCAGCGAAAAGAACCACUACACUACUCAAAGCAAGAACGAGUUCCCACUGUUCCGAUGAAUGUACCAGUCGUCCCAUCGAUACUAACGACCAUGGCAACACUGUUGCCACCCCGGAACAGAGGGAAGAAUCUGCCGCAAUCAAGAUAGAUAAAGAAGUGGAGUACAUAACCCAAAAGUUGAACAAGUUGGGAGUGCGAGAUGAUAUUGGCUUUGAGGAGUACUAUAAAUGCUUGAUGAAUCUGCCUUCCGACCCCUCCGUUGAUACUUCCAUCAGAUUGGAUGAUACAGAUCUUUAUGACAUGGACAUCCGCCACGCGGUGUAUCGCAUCAGAUCCUACAAGUUGUCACAAAAGGAGUCUAAGAAUGAGUUGUGCCAUGAUAAACUGAAAGAUUGCCCUGUGGAGCUUCUUGACAGGGACGAAUUUCCUACAGAUUUCCUCGUGAAGAUGCAAUAUUUUAGGUUCUUGGAGGAAGAAGGUGUAUUAGACUGGUUCUUCCACCCUGAACUCUGCAAGCUUGCUUGCCUGAAUGACUACCAGCGUCUAGUGCCUCGGGAUCAUGGUGCUGUUUUUGAUUGGGAGUAUGCUGAUUGGGAGUUGUACCGCAGUUACUUUCAUAGCUAUGAGAUGCAACAUGAAUACAUCGAGUACUUUGAAACAUUAUUAAGGGAACUUAAGUGGUUGAAAGAUUGUCUACCGGUUAACGAUACUUCUCCUACUGCAAGCAAAAUACGGACCAGAGGAAUUUAUCAAGCAACUAAGAUUGCCACUCGCUUUCCCAAGAUCACAACUCAUUUAGUUCGUAUUGGCUUCAGUGAUUGUCUUACUUACAUGGGCAUUGAGGCUAGGUGGUGUAACGGAUCCGAUGGUCUCCAUUUCGAGAUAUGGAAGCGAGUCACUCAACAAAAGGAGAGUUUCGAAAAUGCUUUGAAGGAAGUCUAUUUACUGAACAAGUGUCCGUCGCGGCAAGAUAGCAUCAAGUAUGCCAUAGAGUAUGACCAUUCCCUUAUGAAACUAGAGAUAGUUGUAAGCCCAGAAUUUGUAACGUGCAUGCUUAUCUCUUUUGCUUCUUUUCUUCACCUUUUCAGUUUCUUCAUUGCACGGCAAGUGUUCCCAAGGAAGUAUCAGAGGAGAAAGCUCAGGAGUUGAUUACAGAGAAAGUUAAAAAGCUGAGGAUAAAAUCCAAAUUCUUUGACGAGUAUAUCAGAAAGAAGAUACGCAUUGCCAAAGCUAUAAGAUUGAUUACCGAGGUUUAAGAAGAUGCAUAUUGGGCCUGGCUUUUCGUCCUUGGAGCUUCCAUUUCUUCAAGAUGCCUUUUCAUGGAUUCCAGCACUUUUGCUGCUGCAAUGAAUACUGAACUAGAUCAGAUUCGUAGCUCUUACAAAGUACUCCCUCCGUUUCUUUUUAGUCCGCAUAUAAGGUUUGGUCAAAGUCAAGUUUUGUAGAGUUUGACUAACUUUAUAUUAAAAAAUAUAAACAUUCACAAUAUGAAAUCAAUACUAUCAGAUGCACCAUGAAACGUAUGUUCAUACUAUAUAGUUUCAGUAUUGUAGAUGUUCAUAUUUUUUUAUAUAAAUUUGGUCAAACUUUGUGAUCUUAUAUGCGGAGUAAAAAGAAACGGAGGGAGUACAGUAGUAUAGUACUACUAGUCUAUUAGAUGGAUGAUUUGAGUAUGUGCCUGCAACCGCCUGCGUCAUUUGAUUUUAUCAGCCACCUCUGUGGUUUUCUGUUUAUGUGCCACUUGGCCACUAGGAGUAUUCUACUAGCCCUAUCCAUUAAGUCAUAUCAGUUUCGUUCCCAGUAACUUAACACAAGUUUUACAUACUAGCGCGCAAAGGCUGCCGCGCCCAUCAAAGCCUGUUUGUGUGCGUCUGUUUUGCUUUUGUAAUGAGGGAAACGAGAACAAUGCGCUUUGAAAGCGAGCUGAUGGCGUGAAAGUAUCUGUAUAUUUAGCACGUUCAUGCAGGUCCUUGUACUUUCUUAUUUGUAGAAGCUAUAGGGAGGUCAUAGCAACAUGCAAGGAAGUUUCUUUCCACGUGAAAGAGAGUGGAGGAGUUGUGACAACAUCGCUUACUAUGCCAAGGAUCCGGACAAACUACCACCAACACCAACGGGGAGGAGUUGGGACAGAAAGAUGGUUGGUUGUGCCAUUGAAAGUCUGGUAGUGUGCGAAGUGAAAUAGUGUUAGAGGUGUGUGUGUUUUAGAUCUUGGCCACUGGUAUAUCUAUAUUUAUAGAUAGAUUUGUCAUUUCCGGUCAAUCACCAGUUUGAUAAUUGUUCUUGGCCACUGAUAUCUGUUUAUGCACAUAACAAGACCAUGUACAUUCGUACAUGCAAGGGAAGAGUUUCGUUAGCAAGA